CGUCAUACACCUGCACCCGGGAGGAAAGGCGAGGCUCUGCAUCUAGAUUUACCUCGUUCUCUUUUGUCUCCGCUUUUUUUUCACAUUUCCUUGCGACCCUGGCCCUUGAGCGACAAAAAGGGGAAGCCAAGGCUGGCCCGAGGAACGGAGAGGGCACAUGGCCUAGCCACAAGUGGAGCUUCUGCUCCGCCCGAAGGGAUGCGCUGGAGCGGCCUCUUCCUUCUGCCACGGUCUUUCUUUGCCAACUAGUAGAUUUGGACAUUUACAGUGUUCAGCCGUUGUUGUGGCAUUCCAAUUCAAUUGGGAAACAGCUUGAUGUAGCGUCCCCAUAAGGUCCACAGUAAUUAAAUUUUUUUUUUUUUUUUUUGGUGCGGUAGUGCAAUUUCAUGGCUCACUGCAACCUCCACCUCCCAGGUUCAAGCGAUCCUCCCAUCUCAGCCUCCCUAGUAGCUGGGAUUACAGGUGCACGCCACCACACCAGGCUAAUUUUUGUAUUUUUAGUAGAGAUGGGGUUUCACCAGGUUAGCCAGGCUGGUCUUGAACUCCAGACCUCAAGGGAUCCGCCUGCCUCAGCUUUCCAAAGUGCUGGGAUUACAGGUGGAGACUGGACCUCAGAAGAGGGAGUGGGUGCCCCGAGAACUCACAGCUAGCGGACAGUGGAAAGGGCAGGAGCCGGACCAAGGUGAGGACAGUGGAACUGAAGGCCGCUGGUUACCUCUCCUGCCCUCCGCUGGCCACAGUGGAGAAGACAGCCCCUCCCUCCUGCUCUGACCUGACAGUGUUCAUCCAUCGCCCUGUAUUAGCGAAGAACAACAUCAAGCUGGCUAGCAAGGAACUGUAUACAGGGUCCAGCUGGGUAUCACACUGGAUCUCACCCAAAGCUUAGAUGUGAUCCAGCUCAGUAUCACAAAGCAGAACGAAAAGGAUGUGUUUGGGCUGAGAGGCCAUACAUUGGCUCCGGCAUGACGGGUGACUUCUUCCGAGUCUGGCUUCUGCAGCACACAGGGCUUCGCCAGCACCCAGCUCCUGCAGCAUGGGCAGCUCCUGUGACAGCAGGCGCCCGCAGCCUGCAAAGCGUCUCCAGUGCCGCCGCCUCAGUGAACCUCAACCAGCGGCACCUAGCAGCUUUCUCUGCCACCCUCUUCAGGUAGUUCUGUAGCAGCGCGUUUCUCAUGAGACACUUCCCUGUGAGCAGCUUUUUCUACCCUUGAGGAUGGAUUUCCAGCAAAUUCUGCCCAUGUGGUACCACAGCCACUUCUCUGCCAUUCAGUGAAACUGCCGUUGUGCCCUCUUCAAGGUCUGGAUCUAAGCCCAGGGACCAGGAAACCUCUUGCUUGAGUGCUGGAACUCAGGCCAGAAGGUAUGGCUGCUGCUAUGUGCUGUGACCAGAGAAUCAGAGUUCUCUUUACUUCUUACCAGCCAACCUCUUGAAAAUGCCUUUUUGUUUUUUGUUUUUUUUUGAGACGGAGUCUCGCUCUGUUGCCCAGGCAGUGCAGUGGCUCACUGCAACCUCCGCCUCCUGAGUUCAAGUGAUUCUCCUGCCUCAGCCUCACAAGUAGGUGGGAUUACAGGCAUGUGCCACCACGCCCAGCUAAUUUUGUAUUUUUAGUAGUGACGGGGUUUCUCCAUGUUGGUCAGGUUGGUCUCAAACUCUCGACCUCAGGUGAUCCACCUGUCUCAGCCUCCCAAAGUGCUGGGAUUACAGACGUUAGCCAGAGCGCCCAGUCUAAGCCCUUUAUAGCUUAAUUCUAUAUAUUAAAUUUUCCCAGUUCAAAUUA
rnacentral:lncRNA from 1 species